UACAGAGGUCUCAAGCGUUUGUUCGGAUUCAUUGGGCGUAAAGGGUGUGUAGGUGGCGCCGUAAGUCGGGUGUGAAAUUUCGGAGCUUAACUCCGAAACUGCAUUCGAUACUGCCGUGCUUGAGGACUGGAGAGGAGACUGGAAUUCCCGGUGUAGUGGUGAAAUGCGUAGAGAUCCGGAGGAACACCAGAGGCGAAGGCGGCCCACUGGGCUGCACCUGGACGCUGAACCGCGAAAAGCCAGGGGAGCGAACGGG
rnacentral:rRNA from 1 species